UGGGGAAUAUUGGACAAUGGGGGGAACCCUGAUCCAGCCAUGCCGCGUGUGUGAAGAAGGCCUUAUGGUUGUAAAGCACUUUAAGCGAGGAGGAGGGUACUGGUAUUAAUACUACCAGGUACUGGACGUUACUCGCAGAAUAAGCACCGGCUAACUCUGUGCCAGCAGCCGCGGUAAUACAGAGGGUGCGAGCGUUAAUCGGAUUUACUGGGCGUAAAGCGUGCGUAGGCGGCUAAUUGAGUCGGAUGUGAAAUCCCCGAGCUUAACUUGGGAAUUGCAUUCGAUACUGGUUAGCUAGAGUGUGGGAGAGGAUGGUAGAAUUCCAGGUGUAGCGGUGAAAUGCGUAGAGAUCUGGAGGAAUACCGAAGGCGAAGGCAGCCAUCUGGCCUAACACUGACGCUGAGGUACGAAAGCAUGGGGAGCAAACAGG
rnacentral:rRNA from 1 species